rnacentral:rRNA from 1 species
UAAUACGGAGGGUGCAAGCGUUGUUCGGAAUUACUGGGCGUAAAGCGCACGUAGGCGGGCUUGUAAGUCGAUUGUGAAAGCCCCGGGCUCAAUCCGGGAAUUGCAGUCGAAACUAUAAGUCUUGAAUGCUCUAGAGGGUGACGGAAUUCCUGGUGUAGAAGUGAAAUUCGUAGAUAUCAGGAGGAACACCGGAGGCGAAGGCGGUUGCCUGGAGAUGCAUUGACGCUGAGGUGCGAAAGCGUGGGGAGCAAACAGG